rnacentral:rRNA from 1 species
GCGUGUGUGAAGAAGGCCUGCGGGUUGUAAAGCACUUUCAAUUGGGAAGAAAAGUGAAGGGCUAAUACCCCUUUAUCUUGACGUUACCUUUAGAAGAAGCACCGGCUAACUCCGUGCCAGCAGCCGCGGUAAUACGGAGGGUGCAAGCGUUAAUCGGAAUUACUGGGCGUAAAGCGUGCGUAGGCGGCUUGGUCAGUCAGAUGUGAAAGCCCUGGGCUUAACCUGGGAACUGCAUUUGAUACUGCCUGGCUAGAGUAUGGUAGAGGGAAGUGGAAUUCCGGGUGUAGCGGUGAAAUGCGU